rnacentral:siRNA from 1 species
GCCGCCACCACCACGACCUCUG